rnacentral:rRNA from 1 species
GACGAACGCUGGCGGCGUGCUUAACACAUGCAAGUCGAACGGAAAGGCCCUGCUUGCCGGGUACUCGAGUGGCGAACGGGUGAGUAACACGUGGGUGAUCUGCCCUGCACUUCGGGAUAAGCCUGGGAAACUGGGUCUAAUACCGGAUAGGAGCCAUUUUUAGUGUGAUGGUUGGAAGGUUUUUUUCGGUGUAGGAUGAGCUCGCGGCCUAUCAGCUUGUUGGUGGGGUAAUGGCCUACCAAGGCGGCGACGGGUAGCCGGCCUGAGAGGGUGGACGGCCACAUUGGGACUGAGAUACGGCCCAGACUCCUACGGGAGGCAGCAGUGGGGAAUAUUGCACAAUGGGCGCAAGCCUGAUGCAGCGACGCCGCGUGGGGGAUGACGGCCUUCGGGUUGUAAACUCCUUUCGCUAGGGACGAAGCUUUUUGUGACGGUACCUAGAUAAGAAGCACCGGCUAACUACGUG